rnacentral:rRNA from 1 species
GACGAACGCUGGCGGCGUGCUUAACACAUGCAAGUCGAACGGAAAGGCCCUGCUUUUGUGGGGUGCUCGAGUGGCGAACGGGUGAGUAACACGUGAGUAACCUGCCCUUGACUUUGGGAUAACUUCAGGAAACUGGGGCUAAUACCGGAUAGGAGCUCCUGCUGCAUGGUGGGGGUUGGAAAGUUUCGGCGGUUGGGGAUGGACUCGCGGCUUAUCAGCUUGUUGGUGGGGUAGUGGCUUACCAAGGCUUUGACGGGUAGCCGGCCUGAGAGGGUGACCGGGCACCUGGGGACUGAGAUACGGACCAGACUCCUACGGGAGGCAGCAGUGGGGAGUCUUGCACAAUGGGCGGAAGCCUGAUGCAGCAACGCCGCGUGCGGGAUGACGGCCUUCGGGUUGUAAACCGCUUUCGCCUGUGACGAAGCGUGAGUGACGGUAAUGGGUAAAGAAGCACCGGCUAACUACGUG